rnacentral:rRNA from 1 species
GACGGAGGGUGCUAGCGUUGUUCGGAAUCACUGGGCGUAAAGGGCGCGUAGGCGGCUUUGGCAGUCGGCUUUGUGAAAGCCCGGGGCUCGACCCCGGAGGUGCGGCCGAAACACCAAGGCUGGAGGCCGGAAGAGGAGGGUGGAAUACCCAGUGUAGAGGUGAAAUUCGUAGAUAUUGGGUGGAACACCGGUGGCGAAAGCGGCUCUCUGGUCCGGUCCUGACGCUGAGGCGCCAAAGCGUGGGGAGCAAACAGG